GGGCUGUUAGCUCAGUUGGUAGAGCAGCUGACUCUUAAUCAGCGGGUCGAAGGUUCGAGUCCUUCACAGCCCACCA
rnacentral:tRNA from 3 species